ACACUCUGGAGAGUCCCCCAGCGGGCGCCGAAGGUGUAAGGAUGGAAAUCCAAAUCUCUCAGGCAAAAGGACAGAGAAGAA
rnacentral:ncRNA from 1 species